GCUUAAAGCGCGUGCAGGCGGGGUGGCAGGUGUCUUGUGAAAGCCCUCGGCUCAACCGAGGAAUUGCUUGGCAAACCGCCUCCCUUGAGGCAGGUAGAGGCAACUGGAACGUUCGGUGGAGAGGUGAAAUUCGUAGAUAUCGAACGGAACGCCGGUGGCGAAAGCGGGUUGCUGGGCCUGUCCUGACGCUGAGACGCGAAAGUGUAGGGAGCGAACGGGAUUAGAUACCCCGGUAGUCUACGCCGUAAACGAUGCGCACUGGAUACGAGAACCUCUGACGGUCUUCGUGUCGCAGCAAAAGUGUUAAGUGCGCCGCCUGGGGAGUACGGCCGCAAGGCUAAAACUCAAAGGAAUUGACGGGGGCUCACACAAGCGGUGGAGCAUGUGGAUUAAUUCGAAGCAACGCGAAGAACCUUACCUGGGUUUGACAUGCACGGAUGCCCUCCUGGAAACAGGAGUAAGCUGCCUUCGGGUGAAACGUGCACAGGUGCUGCAUGGCUGUCGUCAGCUCGUGCUGUGAAGUGUCGGGUUAAGUCCCUUAACGAGCGAAACCCUUGUCGCUAGUUGCCAGCGGGCCCUUCGGGGUGCCGGGAACCCUAGCGAGACUGCCGGCGUGAAGCCGGAGGAAGGUGGGGACGACGUCAAGUCCUCAUGGCCCUUAUGCCCAGGGUGUCACACGUGCUACAAUGGCCGGUACAAAGGGCUGCGAUCCCGCGAGGGGGAGCGAAUCCCAUAAAGCCGGUCCAAGUUCGGAUUGCAGUCUGCAACCCGACUGCAUGAAGGCGGAAUCGCUAGUAAUCGUG
rnacentral:rRNA from 1 species